AAUAGCUACUAAGGGCGCACGGUGGAUGCCUUGGCAGUAAGAGGCGAUGAAGGACGUAGGAGCCUGCGAAAAGCCUUGGGGAGCGGGCAAGCACGCGAUGAUCCAGGGAUGUCCGAAUGGGGAAACCCGGUAUCCGCAAGGGAUAUCACCCGCAAGGGAGCCAACUCGGGGAACUGAAACAUCUAAGUACCCGAAGGAAAGGAAAUCAAUAGAGACUCCGUAAGUAGCGGCGAGCGAACGCGGAUGAGGCCAAACCGUUCCAGGUUUCUGGGGCGGGGUUGUAGGACUCACAUAACGGCACAUGAAUGUCUAGCGGAAGAGCUUGGGAAAGCUCGGCAAAGAGGGUGAUACCCCCGUACGCGAAAGAUUGAAGUGGCCAGUGAGAUUCCUGAGUACCCUCGGGCACGUGAAACCCGGGGGGAAUCUGGGGGGACCAUCCUCCAAGCCUAAGUACUCCUUACUGACCGAUAGUGAACAAGUACCGUGAGGGAAAGGUGAAAAGCACCCCGAGAGGGGAGUGAAAUAGUACCUGAAACCGUGUGCCUACAAACAGUGGGAGCUCUUCGGAGUGACCGCGUACCUUUUGCAUAAUGAGCCAACGAGUUGCGUGUAGUGGCAAGGUUAAGCCGUGAGGUGUAGCCGUAAGGAAACUGAGUCUGAAUAGGGCGUACAGUCGCUGCAUGCAGACCCGAAGCCGAGUGAGCUACCCAUGGUCAGGUUGAAGCGUUGGUAAAACUUCGUGGAGGACCGAACACACAAAGGUUGAAAACUUUGGUGAUGAACUGUGGGUCGGAGUGAAAGGCUAAUCAAACUCGGAAAUAGCUGGUUCUCCCCGAAAUGCAUUUACGUGCAGCGUUGGGUAGUACUGUCGGGGGUAAAGCACUGACAGGGCUAGGGGGCUUCACCGCCUACCAAACCCUAUCAAACUCUGAAUACCGACAAGUGACGCCCAGCAGUGAGGCUGCGGGAGAUAAGUUUCGUAGCCAAGAGGGAAAGAGCCCAGAUUCCCAGCUAAGGUCCCUAAGCCUUCACUAAGUGGUAGAGGAUGUAGGGAAGCCCAGACAACCAGGAGGUUGGCUUAGAAGCAGCCACCCUUUAAAGAAAGCGUAAUAGCUCACUGGUCAAGUUUUUCUGCGCCGUAAAUAUAACGGGGCUAAAGUGAAGCACCGAAGCUGGAAAUUCCUAAUUUAUUAGGAGUGGUAGGGGAGCGUUCCAACAACAGUGAAGCAGGCGCGUGAGCAACUGUGGAGUGGUUGGAAGUGAGAAUGUUGGCGUGAGUAGCGAUAAACUGGGUGAAAAACCCAGUCGCCGGAAGCCCAAGGUUUCCUGUCCAAGGAUCAUCCGGGCAGGGUUAGUCGGCCCCUAAGGUGUAGCCGAAAGGCGUAGCCGAUGGGAAUCUGGUUAAUAUUCCAGAACCAACUAUGAGGAGCAGUGGGAUGACGGAGCAGGGUAGGUCAGCCGGUCAUUGGAUUCCGGUCUAAGCGAGUAGGCAGUCUGUGUAGGAAAAAAACGCAUGGGCGACGUCGAGACGUGAUGGUGAAGGCACUUGUGCCGAAAUGAUUGAUCCCAAACUUCCAAGAAAAGUCCCGGGCUGUGUUGAAUCAUAGGUGACCGUACCGCAAACCGACUCAGGUGGGCAGGUGGAGAACACCAAGGCGCUCGAGAGAACCCUGGUUAAGGAACUAGGCAAAUUGACACUGUAACUUCGGGAUAAAGUGUGCCAUUGGUAUGUGAAGCGAUUUACUCGUGGAGCAGAAGAUGGUUGCAACAAAGCGGCGGUAGCGACUGUUUACUAAAAACACAGGACUCUGCGAAAGCGCAAGCUGACGUAUAGGGUCUGACGCCUGCCCGGUGCUGGAAGGUUAAAAGGAGCUGUCAACUUCGGUGAAGCAGUGAAUUGAAGCCCCAGUAAACGGCGGCCGUAACUAUAACGGUCCUAAGGUAGCGAAAUUCCUUGUCGGGUAAGUUCCGACCUGCACGAAUGGCGUAACGACUUCCGCGCUGUCUCGACCAGGGACUCGGCGAAAUCGACAUGGGGGUGAAGAUGCCCUCUACCCGCAGCCAGACGGAAAGACCCUGUGAACCUUUACUCUAGCUUGACAGUGGUAUUCGGAGCAGCUUGUGUAGGAUAGGUGGGAGACUGUGAAACCGGUGCGCUAGCGUCGGUGGAGUCAUCCUUGAAAUACCACCCUGGUUGUUUUGAAUGCCUAACCCCUUCGGGGAGACAUUGUCUGGUGGGGAGUUUGACUGGGGCGGUCGCCUCCUAAAGUGUAACGGAGGCGCACAAAGGUCCCCUCAGCCUGAUCGGAAACCAGGCGCAGAGUGCAAUGGCAUAAGGGGGCUUGACUGCAAGAUUGACAGAUCAAGCAGGUGGGAAACCAGGUCAUAGUGAUCCGGCGGUUCCGUAUGGAAGGGCCGUCGCUCAACGGAUAAAAGGUACUCCGGGGAUAACAGGCUUAUCGCGCCCAAGAGUUCAUAUCGACGGC
rnacentral:rRNA from 1 species